CGUUUUAUGUAAUUAAUAUAAAAUUAAAUCUGCCCAGUGAAAUUUAAACGGCCGCAGUACUUUGACUGUGCUAAGGUAGCAUAAUAAAUUGGCUUUUAAUUGGAGUCUUGUAUGAAAGAAUUCAUGGAUAAUUUCUGUCUUUAUAUAAGUUUUUAAAAAUUACUUUUAAGGUGAAAAUACCUUUAAAUAUUUAAUAGACGAGAAGACCCUAGGAGUUAUUGUUUUUGUUGGGGCGACAUUUCUUCAUUUAACAUGAAUAAGUUAUUUUUGUAGAUUAAACGAUUAUUAUAAUUUUAAUUUAACUACCCUAGGGAUAACAGCAUAAUUUAUUUUUAAGUUUAUGACCUCGAUGUUGGAUUAGGAAAGUUUAAGGUUAAUAAUUUUAAUUCUAUGUUCUGUUCGAACAAAAAUUCCU
rnacentral:rRNA from 1 species